rnacentral:rRNA from 1 species
UACGGAGGGGGCUAGCGUUGUUCGGAAUUACUGGGCGUAAAGCGCGCGUAGGCGGCUUUGUAAGUUAGAGGUGAAAGCCCGGGGCUCAACUCCGGAACUGCCUUUAAGACUGCAUCGCUAGAAUCGUGGAGAGGUGAGUGGAAUUCCGAGUGUAGAGGUGAAAUUCGUAGAUAUUCGGAAGAACACCAGUGGCGAAGGCGACUCACUGGACACGUAUUGACGCUGAGGUGCGAAAGCGUGGGGAGCAAACAGGAUUAGAAACCCCUGUAGUCC